rnacentral:rRNA from 1 species
UACGAAGGGGGCUAGCGUUGCUCGGAAUCACUGGGCGUAAAGCGCACGUAGGCGGACUCUUAAGUCAGGGGUGAAAUCCUGGAGCUCAACUCCAGAACUGCCUUUGAUACUGAGAGCCUUGAGUCCGGAAGAGGUAAGUGGAACUGCGAGUGUAGAGGUGAAAUUCGUAGAUAUUCGCAAGAACACCAGUGGCGAAGGCGGCUUACUGGUCCGGUACUGACGCUGAGGUGCGAAAGCGUGGGGAGCCAAACAGG